rnacentral:rRNA from 1 species
UACGAACGCUGGCGGCAUGCCUAAUACAUGCAAGUCGAGCGAACAGAUGAAGUGCUUGCACUUCUGACGUUAGCGGCGAACGGGUGAGUAACACGUAAGGAAUCUACCUAUAAGCGGAGGAUAACAUUCGGAAACGGGUGCUAAUACCGCAUAAUAUCUUCUUCCACAUGGAAGAAGAUUGAAAGACGGCUCUGCUGUCACUUAUAGAUGACCUUGCGUUGCAUUAGUUAGUUGGUGGGGUAACGGCCUAACAAGACGAUGAUGCAUAGCCGACCUGAGAGGGUGAUAGGCCACAUUGGGACUGAGACACGGCCCAAACUCCUACGGGAGGCAGCAGUAGGGAAUCUUCCGCAAUGGGCGAAAGCCUGACGGAGCAAUGCCGCGUGAGUGAAGAAGGCCUUCGGGUCGUAAAACUCUGUUAUAAGAGAAGAACAAAUUGUAGAGUAACUGCUACAGUCUUGACGGUAUCUUAUCAGAAAGCCACGGCUAACUACGUGCCAGCAGCCGCGGUAA